rnacentral:rRNA from 1 species
ACGGGUGAGUAACGCGUGGGUAACCUGCCUCAUACAGGGGGAUAACAGUUAGAAAUGACUGCUAAUACCGCAUAAGCGCACAGGGCUGCAUGGCCCGGUGUGAAAAACUCCGGUGGUAUGAGAUGGACCCGCGUCUGAUUAGCUGGUUGGAGGGGUAACGGCCCACCAAGGCGACGAUCAGUAGCCGGCCUGAGAGGGUGAACGGCCACAUUGGGACUGAGACAUGGCCCAGACUCCUACGGGAGGCAGCAGUGGGGAAUAUUGCACAAUGGGGGAAACCCUGAUGCAGCGACGCCGCGUGAAGGAAGAAGUAUCUCGGUAUGUAAACUUCUAUCAGCAGGGAAGAAAAUGACGGUACCUGACUAAGAAGCCCCGGCUAACUACGUGCCAGCAGCCGCGGUAAUACGUAGGGGGCAAGCGUUAUCCGGAUUUACUGGGUGUAAAGGGAGCGUAGACGGAAGAGCAAGUCUGAUGUGAAAGGCUGGGGCUUAACCCCAGGACUGCAUUGGAAACUGUUUUUCUAGAGUGCCGGAGAGGUAAGCGGAAUUCCUAGUGUAGCGGUGAAAUGCGUAGAUAUUAGGAGGAACACCAGUGGCGAAGGCGGCUUACUGGACGGUAACUGACGUUGAGGCUCGAAAGCGUGGGGAGCAAACAGGAUUAGAUACCCUGGUAGUCCACGCCGUAAA